rnacentral:tRNA from 1 species
GGGGGGUCAACAGACGGGUCAACACGAGCGCGUGAACGGAGCCCGACCGUCGGCCUGUCACGCCGAGGUCACGGGUUCGAGUCCCGUCGCUCCCG